rnacentral:rRNA from 1 species
UACGGAGGGUGCAAGCGUUAUCCGGAUUCACUGGGUUUAAAGUGUGCGCAGGCGGCGCUGCAAGUCGAGUGUGAAAUCCCCGAGCUUAACUUGGGAAUUGCGCUCGAAACUACGGCGCUGGAGUAUGGCAGAGGAAGGUGGAAUUCCACGUGUAGCGGUGAAAUGCGUAGAGAUGUGGAGGAACACCGAUGGCGAAGGCAGCCUUCUGGGCCAAUACUGACGCUCAUGCACGAAAGCGUGGGGAGCAAACAGG